rnacentral:rRNA from 1 species
CCUACGGGAGGCAGCAGUGGGGAAUAUUGGACAAUGGGCGAAAGCCUGAUCCAGCAAUGCCGCGUGAGUGAUGAAGGCCUUAGGGUCGUAAAGCUCUUUUACCAGGGAUGAUAAUGACAGUACCUGGAGAAUAAGCUCCGGCUAACUCCGUGCCAGCAGCCGCGGUAAUACGGAGGGAGCUAGCGUUGUUCGGAAUUACUGGGCGUAAAGCGUACGUAGGCGGUUAUUCAAGUCAGAGGUGAAAGCCCGGGGCUCAACCCCGGAACGGCCUUUGAAACUAGAUAGCUAGAGUCUUGGAGAGGUCAGUGGAAUUCCGAGUGUAGAGGUGAAAUUCGUAGAUAUUCGGAAGAACACCAGUGGCGAAGGCGACUGACUGGACAAGUACUGACGCUGAGGUACGAAAGCGUGGGGAGCAAACAGGAUUAGAUACCCUGGUAGUCCACGCCGUAAACGAUGAUAACUAGCUGUCCGGGUACUUGGUAUCUGGGUGCGCAGCUAACGCAUUAAGUUAUCCGCCUGGGGAGUACGGUCGCAAGAUUAAAACCUCAAAGGAAUUGACGGCNGAGAGNGCGAGACGACACGAGGAGAG